rnacentral:rRNA from 1 species
GGAGUCGAGAAUGAAUGGGUUUUCGGGGAUUAGCUGUCUCUUUAAGAUUGAGUCGAAAUUUCUAAAAAGGUGCAAAAUCCUUUAAUCUGAAAAAAGACGAGAAGACCCUUAGAGUUUUUACUAUAAAAAGAUUAAAUUCUUUUAUUGGUUUUUGCUGGGGCGGCAAAGAGACAAUAAACUCUCUUUUUGUAGUUUUUAGAAGACGUGAAUUUAAAGAAACAAUAAACUACCUUAGGGAUAACAGCAUAAUUAAAUUUUAGUUUGUGACCUCGAUGUUGGACUAGGAAAAAUUCUUGGUUAGCCGCCAA